rnacentral:rRNA from 1 species
CAGCUAGUUGGCGGGGUAACGGCCCACCAAGGCUUAGAUCGGUAGCCGGCCUGAGAGGGCGCACGGCCACACUGGAACUGAAACACGGUCCAGACUCCUACGGGAGGCAGCAGUGGGGAAUUUUGCGCAAUGGGGGAAACCCUGACGCAGCAACGCCGCGUGGAGGAUGAAGUCCCUUGGGACGUAAACUCCUUUCGACCCGGACGAUAAUGACGGUACGGGUGGAAGAAGCCCCGGCUAACUUCGUGCCAGCAGCCGCGGUAAUACGAGGGGGGCAAGCGUUGUUCGGAAUUAUUGGGCGUAAAGGGCGCGUAGGCGGUGCGGUAAGUCACCUGUGAAACCU